UCUUGUUUUUUUUUUAUCUUUUUUGGCAUCAAUCGGUUUAACCGCAUAAACACUUUGUAGAUUGUACAAAUCCACUUUCAUUUUUAAUGAUAAUUCACAUAUUUAUCCAGAAAAAAAUGAUUCAUAUUUCAAAAUUUUUACAUAUAUUAAAAAAAAUGAUUCAUAUUUUAAAUUUUAGUUAAAAAAAUAUUGUUUGUGUGAUUAAAUAUUCCUCAUUACUUUUAUACAAUCAAAUAUCAAUAAUCACAACUGAUUUUUUUUAAGUUCACAAUUUACAAUUACUACAUAAAUUGAAAAUAUAAAAUGUAUGCCUUUUAAAAAUAUUUUUCUAAAACAUAAAUAUUUUUGAAAUAAAAGUACUUCUCAUAUCACAAAUACAAAAGUUUGAAGUUUCUUUGGUCAAUUAGAGGCCCACUUAGUACCAUUUCCAAAUUUCAACAUAAGACCAUCCGCAUUAGCGGUUUAUAAGAGGUUCGUGGGCUCGAAAUCUUAGGCCCAGUGAAUUUAAAAAAAAAAAGAAAAAUGCGAUUAGUUUGAUGAACCGGGCUUUGCGCAUGAACCCGUAAGGGGUAGAUUUUGCCACGCGGCGUACGCUGGUUGGUCAAGCGUUCCGCGUUGACGAGGAGGAAAGUCGGGCCACAUCGUGUUUCUUCUCAUUUUCCUCUUUCUCUGAAAAUACUAGGGUUUCACCGUGAGAGGCGACUUUUCGUGCGACGACGAUUCCCGGCGAUUUUCUCGACGUAAUCGACGACGAGCUCUUCUAUCCACGAGCGUAGGUGAGUACCUUGUAGGUUUAUAGCUUUAUUGGGUCGAUUUUGGGGUGGGAAGCAAUUAUUCGAUUUUGAAAAAAAAUUGGGGGUUUCGAGUAAGGGAUCUAAAUCGAUAUAUGGGUUUCGAUCAAGGGUUGUAGAUCGUGAUUGUUUUUUGUUUUAGGGUUCUUUUUUCUGAGAUUUGAAAUCCAAUUAGGGUUUCGUUUUAUGGGUGAGUGAUGGGUUUAUAAAUUGAGUGAUGGGUUUUGUUUUAUGGGUUAAAUCGAGUGAUGGGUUUAGGGUUGUAGAUCGUGAUUGUGGUUUACGAGUAAUUAUUUGACAAAAUCUUGAUUUAUUUGACAGAUGGAUCUGGAAGAAGAUAGAAGACAUUCAAAGAAGCAACACGAACACAUCAACAUGUUAAGUUUCGUGGCGGAUUCUGAGUACGGUAUUCCUAAAAGAUGUCCGUGUGGUGGGAGACUCAUUAACGAGGUGCGCGGGAAGGAGGACUACGACACUCUUCCUGGGAAGCGGUUCUUCACCUGCAGAAACUACGAGGUAAAGUCUCCUCUGUUAAACUUCACUUUAAGUUGUAUAUCAUAAUUUGAUCAUUCUUUAUGUUCUAUAUUGUAAGUUGUAUAUCUGAUCAUUCUUGAUGUUAUAACCAAGGCUGAUGGGCUCCAUUAUCGUCAGCCUUGGGUGAUAGGUGUGCAGGAGGAGCUGGAGAGGCUAACUAAACGGGUGGAAGAGGCUGAGCAGGUGAUGCUGGAGGUGUCCAAUCUUAGUAAACAGUUUGAGAGACUUGAGGAACAGGUUAAUUCACUCAAUGAGGCUGUCUAUGACCUCACUGUGCAGGUCCAUUCCCUCGAGAAGGUCUGCUUCGAUUGACAAUGAAAGGUCACGGGUUGGAGGUGACAGUGUUGCAGGUCACGGGUUGGAAGUUUAGGUUGUUGCAGGUCAAUCUUAGUGGUCGUUACCUUUGUUUGUUUGCGGUUUACUCACGGGAAAGUGUAGGUUUUGUUUCUUUCUACACUGCAGGUCACUCAUGUACUAUGUCUCUCUAUGUAUUAUGCUUUUGUUGUAACUCUGAACUUGAUUCACGGAUGUACUAAACCAGAUCACGGAUGUACUAUGUUGUAACUC